UCUGAGUCGGGGUUGUCGGGCAGAGCGGUACAAAUGGGGCUUCAGCAAGGAGCUUAUGGCUUCUGCUGACUCUGUGUGGAGGGAAUGGCUGAGCUGAAUCCUGGGCUGGUUUCCGCGCCUUUGCUUGAGGCGGCUGUAGGGCCUGGCCCGGUGCAUGGGGUGGUGGGGCCGGGGCCUGGGCGCUGUGGAGAUGAGGCAGGGCCCUGCCUGCACCCCCUAGCCCUGCCUGUGCCUCGGGCUGGGUGAAGGCGCUAGCGUAGUGUGUGAGUGAGUGCUCAGAGAGCUUGUGGUGGGGUCAGCUUAAUAGAGCUUGAUUUGUGAAGUGGUGAAUUUCUCCAAAAAGCAUUAUAGAAUAGCUUUGAGGUGUGAGUCCAGCUCCACUGCUUUGUGCUUGGUGUGGGAGCUUGACCUGAUUUAAUCAGGUAAAGAGGAACUGGAAGGGGGUCUAAACAGUCUUGGGCACCAAAUGAAAUACUUAUUAUGUGUUGGUCCAUGCUGGCCAUGGUUCAGAGCUCUUAGUGGUGAGGGCAUGACAGAUGAGAUGCAAUAAGGAGGCUGAGGAGCUGGUGGACAAUGGCUUACGCAGUGAAAUCUAAGCAAGUGUGGACCUGUAUUGUUGAGUUUUAUCAACAGAAACAGAGGAAUCAUUAACACUGGUGAUAACUUGGAUAUUUCUUGUAGCCAGAAUAAGGAAGUUCAAGUUCAUCAUGAUGUUAACUCACCAGAACAUUGAAAGAUGUAAAAGUCUGUGACUGGCCGCAGCCCAGACAAUUCCUGCCAGCCCUCUUGCCAGCAUCGCGAGAAGGAUGUGGCCGGAACGGAUUUACCGUACAGGACACAAUAUGUACGGGGAAAACCAGCAGCAGCUGAGCUGCGGUUCCGAUUUUGUUGGUGAGGAACUGCAACGAUGCAUCUUGCGUGGAUAAUAUAGCUUAAGAUCAGGAAGACACUGGAGCUUGCAAUGCAUGGAUUCUUAAAUUUACAGAAUUGAGAAGGAUAUGAAUGUAGGUAAAAUGACAAAAAAGUUGAGAAGGGGAGUGAGGAAAGACCUACAUGCAAGCCUUCAGCCUUGAAGGCAUGGGCAUACACAUCAGAGGAGUGAAAGAAAUCCCAUGGAGAAGGCAGUCAUGGCAAGAGGCUCCCUUGAACCCUUGGAUAUUCAGCACAAAAAUCCCUAAAAAGACCAGGAUUUUGACAGGAGAAUACUUUCUUCCAUUACUUUGUGCAGCAAGUAAAGGAGUUGAAGAACAUGGAAAAGCUUGAUAGAAGACACAUGGCUAUGGUGCCAGGUACAGAAAGCAAGCUCUAAGUUUGUUACGACUUUUUCCUUACUUUUUAGGUUUGUCCUGAGGAUUAGUUAGCUGAUGAAUAGAAAAUAGGUGUGAUGAUAGAAAGAAAAGCAGGAAGAGGCCACACCUAACGUCUCAGACUAAGACUUUUUUCUCAUUGAUAUUUAAAGUUGGAUCCUCCAAUCUUUGUUCUAGACUUUGACUCUAUGGCAAAUAACCAUAUCACAGGAAAAAAGAUAUAUGUGACUAUAAUGCGCAGGCAAAACUCUGCAUAUCUGAUGCAUAAAAAGGAUUCUGGAUUUUGAGGUCUACUGAAUCAAUUGGGGUUUAUUCCAAUAUGUUUUUUUGGUUCAUUUGUUCAGGGAGAGAGCAUGUAUUAAAUAUGAAGACCAUAUAUAUAGGAAAAUAAUGAUUUUAUUCGUUAAGAGAGCAAGAAAAAUAUGUAUUGCCCCAGUAUUCCUUUAACCUGCUUAUCCAGUGCUAGUGCAAUACAUCUUCCUUCUUUAACCAAACUUCGGAAUGAAUGAAAGUCCUGGUAAAUUAAUGAGGCCCUUCUGCCCACUUUAUAAAGUUUAAGUUAUCCAACGAAGACUAAAAAUAAUGAUAGUUGACUCAGGUCAAAAUGAAAUUCUAAAUUUCAAGUAUUAAAUGACUACCCUCAUUCAUGUAAACUGUUCCAUAAAUUGACUAUUUAAUCUUAAGACAAAAAUGAAUUCAAAAUAAAUGUAUAGCAUUAGCUCUGUAGAAAAUGUGAAAUCAGGGAAAGGGCUGAGUUUAUUGAAUAAAUAAUAUACCAAUACCCCUUAAUAUAUAAUAUAUUAAUGCAAAAUAUCUUCAUAUUGAUCUGCUGCCAAACAACCACGAUGACUGACUUAGUUUGUGUAGAGAGUAGGAUUUUAAAAUAUCAGCUGAUACUAUUUUUCUUUAUUACAGGGUUGGGUUGAACCGUGCUCAGUUGCUAUGUGUGGCCAUUAAAUAUUCAGUUUAAAUACGCUGAAAGGAGCUGUAAGAGCUUUCCAGAUUUCCCAACCUUCAAAAAUUCCCAUCUCUCAUUAAGGAUGUGCUAAAGCACACCUUUAAUGAAUACCCCUGAGUGAUUUUUUUGUCACAUCAACAUUUUCAUAGAAAAAUGAAUUAGUAGAAACUUUAGACAAACUUUUCAGUAAUUUAUAUAUAUUACAUUCAACGUUUAAUGUACAUUUGAUGUUGAUCAGCAGUUCUAUCCCAUACCGCCUGUAUGCUUUUCAGUUGUAUCUUGCUUCCUAUUAUUGUAGCAUAGCUACUGCACACCAAACUGUGGAUCUACCAGAUGCUGUGUAACCAGUCUAGGAGACGUGAGCUGGUUCCCUUGGUUUCGCAAGUUCCUCAAAAAGAUGUUUGAAGAGUCUUUCAGUCACCACCAUGAACAGAGGCAGACUUCCCUAGGUCCUUCUCAUGGCUAGAGAAAUGAUCUGGAGAUGUUCCCAUGCAGGUAUUCAUAGGCAGGAGCAGAGAUUUGAGAGUUUCAUGGGAAGACGUUGCCAGCCUGGCUCCUGAGCUUGGGUCAACUGCAAGUGGCAGGUGAGGUGCGAACGCCUGUUUCCAGCGGUGCUGUGCAGUGGCACGCACGUGUCCUGCAGAACAUGCCUAGGCACGGAGGAGGACCGUGGCGGAGGACCACACCUGCUCAUCCCUCUGAGCCAUGUUUCGUGCCAAGCCACGUGGAGCUGUCAGUGGCUUUGCGAUGCAUUUGGUCGAUGCUGCAUACUCACAAAUAGUGCUGCUGUCUGUGCUGGGUUUAAUUUUGGGGGGAUUGAAGGAAAGUACCUUGGGAAGGACUGUACGAGGAGAAGACACAUAAACCUUUCUUCCUGACUCAACUUUGUUAUUUUUGCAAAUGUGGAACACAUUUGGUCUGCCAUCCCAUUUGAUUUCUUUACUGCUUUUGUGUCCCACAUUUGAAGAGGCCUUCCAAAGACAGAUAUUUCUCUCAUCUGGCCUGGCUCUGUCUUCUGCACAGAAACCCCAGUAUAGGUGGGUGGAGUACACAUCCAGGGCGUUAGGGUGGGCCGUGAAGGGGAACACGGUGAAUUUUUUGGAAUAACCUGGGCUGUACUUUCAGCCUUGCCCACGGUUCAGUUGUAGAAAUUACCAGAUUUGUUUGGGAAGUGAUGUUAGGCAACAUCAGCUAUCAGCCCUUACCUUGGUUGCACGCAGCUCGCUCUUUACGUGAUCCACCCCUGGAUGUGGAAUGUUACAGCACUGUUACAAAUUAUUCUGUCUGUGUGCUUUGGAAAGUAUGCAGUAUGGCUCAUUUUCAAGCAUCACUUUUUUUAUAAAAAUCAGUGGCUCCUACCGUGACCUGAAACUAGCCAGGUAGGAUUUAAACGAGCAAAGAAUUUCACAGAUGGCUGAUUUGUUACCUCAUUGUGGUGUGUGUAAAUGGUUCUGUGUUUCAGAAAGAUAUUUCCCCUUGUGUUCUAGAUAAGACUAUUACUAUUUUUUCAUACAAUAGUAAUUCCUAGUUUUGGUGGGAUGUAUUUCAGUCAAAUCAAACUGAAAGAAAGAACAAACCCAUCCUGUCAGCCCAGCCUUUUUCCAGCCAGAGCCCCCUCCCUGGAGUCUUCCUUCUAACCACCAUCUCUGCUGGCCUUGCCCUUUUCAAAUAUGCUGAGGAAUUAAGUAAGUAGUAGUUCCAUCACCCUUGCCACCUGGUAUAUCUGCCAGAAGGGUUGGGAUAUCUAAAAUGGGUAAUUUUUUUUCUGUGUAUACUCUGAGGCUCAGAGUAUAGCCCCUGUCAUACUGCAGUCUUUCAGAAAUGCACUGACUUCACUUAAACACCUCUGUAAUGGCCCAGAAGAAGACACUUUUCCCCAGAAGCAGUUGCCUAGCUCACAUCAUUCUUGGCAGUACCUGCAAAUAAACUUCUUGUAAUUGAUUUAAUAAUUUUCAAAUAAAAAAAUUAUGAUAGCUGAGGACAGCUAUAAAUAACAGAAAUGAAACACAUUAUUUGCACUGCGCCUUCACAUGCACUUGUUUAGCUCUUUUUGCUGUUAAGUUAAAACAUCUGUUUCUAUGGAAGUGGAGCAUUCCAUGCAACAAACACAGCACUGGAAGUGACCCACAUAUUAAAUGACAACAUUUGACAAAUUCUAGCAGUUGAUUACUGGGGAGGAGUAGACUGUGGUUAUAAUCAGAGUAAACCAAAAAAAUGUGUACCUUUAUAAACCUAGAGUUUAAAUGAAACAUCUGUACUAAAUCAUGUUUGUAGAACAGCACUGUAGCCAACUACCAGACCAUAUGAUAAUGGGGUGUUUUUAACAAUCCCUAUUUCCAUCGCCAUCCUCCAAAUCAGAUCCAGACUGUGCCCACUGGCAUGAAUUCUGCUAGAAACCAGUUGGGGUAGUGUCAGGCUACAGUGGAUGCUGUCACUUUAGAUACAGAUACCCGUAAAAAGUUAGGGAUUCUAAUACCUCAUGGGGAGUAUAAGCACAGGUAGAAACUCAGGUGAAUAUUAGGGUGCUUUGUAGGCUACAGUCUUUUCCUGGCAUAUUUUA